rnacentral:rRNA from 1 species
UACAGAGGGUGCGAGCGUUGUCCGGAAUCACUGGGCGUAAAGGGCGCGUAGGUGGCGGCCCAAGUCCAUGGUGAAAGCUCGAUGCUCAACAUCGAGUCGGCCACGGAUACUGGGUUGCUUGAGCACUGUAGGGGCAGAUGGAAUUCCGGGUGUAGCGGUGGAAUGCGUAGAUAUCAAGUGGAACACCAGUGGCGAAGGCGAGUCCCUGGACAACUCCUGACACUGAGGCACGAAAGCUAGGGGAGCAAACAGG